rnacentral:tRNA from 1 species
CGGGGCGUAGCUCAGCCUGGUAGAGUACUACGUUCGGGACGUAGGAGUCGCACGUUCGAAUCGUGUCGCCCCGA